UGGGGAAUAUUGCACAAUGGGCGAAAGCCUGAUGCAGCAACGCCGCGUGAGCGAUGAAGGCCUUUGGGUCGUAAAGCUCUGUCCUUGGGGAAGAAUAAAUGACGGUACCCUUGGAGGAAGCCCCGGCUAACUACGUGCCAGCAGCCGCGGUAAUACGUAGGGGGCAAGCGUUAUCCGGAAUUAUUGGGCGUAAAGAGUGCGUAGGUGGUUUUGUAAGCGCGGGGUGAAAGGCAAUGGCUCAACUAUUGUAAGCCCUGCGAACUGCAAGACUUGAGUGCAGGAGAGGAAAGUGGAAUUCCUAGUGUAGCGGUGAAAUGCGUAGAUAUUAGGAGGAACACCAGUGGCGAAGGCGACUUUCUGGACUGUAACUGACACCGAGGCACGGAAGCGUGGGGAGCAAACA
rnacentral:rRNA from 1 species